AAGGGAGACCUAAUUCAGGUAUGGGACGAAAAAAAAGUAGUCCCUACCAAGAAUCAAUCCCAAAAGGUCGGAGCGAGGCAAAAUUGGCUUUCAAACUAGGUUCUGGGUUCAUAAAAGACCUGAAUCAGGAACAAGGGCUAUUAGCUCAGGUGGUUAGAGCGCAUCCCUGAUAAGGGUGAGGUCCCUGGUUCGAGUCCAGGAUGGCCCACCUGCACAGGUGGCAAAAACAAGAGAAGCUCCGAAUCAGCACCUUAUCUUAUAUACAUAUAUAAGAGAGAAUGCUGGCUCUGAGUAAAGAGUCCAGAGGAACCUUGAAAACUGCAUAGAGCUAGGUGAAAAAGUCAAAAAAGAAGACCGCAA
rnacentral:tRNA from 1 species